rnacentral:rRNA from 1 species
UGGGGAAUAUUGGACAAUGGGGGCAACCCUGAUCCAGCCAUGCCGCGUGUGUGAAGAAGGCCUUUUGGUUGUAAAGCACUUUAAGCAGGGAGGAGAGGCUAAUGGUUAAUACCCAUUAGAUUAGACGUUACCUGCAGAAUAAGCACCGGCUAACUCUGUGCCAGCAGCCGCGGUAAUACAGAGGGUGCGAGCGUUAAUCGGAAUUACUGGGCGUAAAGCGAGUGUAGGUGGCUCAUUAAGUCACAUGUGAAAUCCCCGGGCUUAACCUGGGAACUGCAUGUGAUACUGGUGGUGCUAGAAUAUGUGAGAGGGAAGUAGAAUUCCAGGUGUAGCGGUGAAAUGCGUAGAGAUCUGGAGGAAUACCGAUGGCGAAGGCAGCUU